rnacentral:pre_miRNA from 1 species
UCAACCCAUUUAACCUUAUAACCCAUCAAAUUAAAUGAGUUCAUGGGUUGACUCAACGCAUAUGCUAAAUGAGUUGAGUCAACCCAUGAACUCAUUUAACUCUAAACUCAUUGGGUAAUGAGU